GACAGAGGUGCCGAGCGUUAGGCGGAAUCACUGGGCUUAAAGCGUGUGUAGGCGGAUGCCUAAGUACCUUGUGAAAUCCCACGGCUUAACGUGUGAACUGCUUGGUAUACUGGGUGUCUUGAGCCACUUAGGGGGCGACCGGAACAAACGGUGGAGCGGUGAAAUGCGUAGAUAUCGUUUGGAACGCCAAUGGUGAAAACAGGCGCUGGGAGUGCGCUGACGCUGAGACACGAAAGCCAGGGGAGCGAACGGU
rnacentral:rRNA from 1 species